rnacentral:rRNA from 1 species
AAUGAACGCUGGCGGCAUGCCUUACACAUGCAAGUCGAACGGCAGCAUGACCUAGCUUGCUAGGUUGAUGGCGAGUGGCGAACGGGUGAGUAAUGCAUCGGAACGUGCCUUUUAGUGGGGGAUAACGUAGCGAAAGUUACGCUAAUACCGCAUAUUCUCUGAGGAGGAAAGCAGGGGACCUUCGGGCCUUGCGCUAGAAGAGCGGCCGAUGUCGGAUUAGCUAGUUGGUGAGGUAAAGGCUCACCAAGGCAACGAUCCGUAGCGGGUCUGAGAGGAUGAUCCGCCACACUGGGACUGAGACACGGCCCAGACUCCUACGGGAGGCAGCAGUGGGGAAUUUUGGACAAUGGGCGCAAGCCUGAUCCAGCCAUGCCGCGUGAGUGAAGAAGGCCUGCGGGUUGUAAAGCUCUUUCGGCUGGGAAGAAAUCGCACCCUCUAAUACAGGGUGUGGAUGACGGUACCAGCAUAAGAAGCACCGGCGAACUACGG